UACAGAGGGGGCAAGCGUUUAUUCGGAAUUAUUGGGCGUAAAGGGCGCGUAGGCGGCCUAUUCAAGUGCGGGUGAAAGCCUCGCGUAACCGAGGAACUGCCUGUCAGACUGGAUGGCUUGAGACCGGGAGAGGUGAGUGGAAUUCCCAGUGUAGCGGUGAAAUGCGUAGAUAUUGGGAGGAACACCAGUGGCGAAGGCGGCUCACUGGACCGGAACUGACGCUGAGGCGCGAAAGCGUGGGGAGCGAACAGG
rnacentral:rRNA from 1 species